rnacentral:tRNA from 1 species
UCCCUGAUAGCUCAGUUGGUAAAGAAUCUGCCUACAAUGCAGGAGAUCCUGGUUCAAACCCUGGGUUGGGAA